rnacentral:rRNA from 1 species
AACGAACGCUGGCGGCAUGCCUAACACAUGCAAGUCGAACGAGACCUUCGGGUCUAGUGGCGCACGGGUGCGUAACGCGUGGGAACCUGCCCUUAGGUUCGGAAUAACUCCCCGAAAGGGGUGCUAAUACCGGAUAAUGUCUUCGGACCAAAGAUUUAUCGCCCUUGGAUGGGCCCGCGUUGGAUUAGCUAGUUGGUAGGGUAAAAGCCUACCAAGGCGACCAUCCAUAGCUGGUUUGAGAGGAUGAUCAGCCACACUGGGACUGAGACACGGCCCAGACUCCUACGGGAGGCAGCAGUGGGGAAUAUUGGACAAUGGGCGAAAGCCUGAUCCAGCAAUGCCGCGUGAGUGAUGAAGGCCUUAGGGUUGUAAAGCUCUUUUACCCGGGAUGAUAAUGACAGUACCGGGAGAAUAAGCUCCGGCUAACUCCGUG